rnacentral:pre_miRNA from 1 species
UCGGUGUGAGGUAGUAGGUUGUAUAGUUGCAUUACAUCCGUUGGGAGAACUGUACAACUUGCUAACUUUCCUCGG